GGCUGCUGGGAUUGGGACUUUCCCCUCCCAUGUGCUCAUACUGGCGCUAAAAGUUUUGAGCUCCUCAAAAGUCCAGAGCCACCAUCCUGGGUGCAGGUAUCCUCUGGGCUCGGUGGGCAUCUGUCCUGUGGCCCCGGGAAGCACUUCCUCGGACGGUGACACACUCCCUCGAAGAUCGGGAUCUCAGGCAUGGCCCUUUCUCCUCACAGUGGCCACACUGACUUCCUGGGUGCUGCCAUGGAGGAACCACAGUCAGAUCUCGGCAUCGAGCCCCCUCUGAGUCAGGAGACAUUUUCGGACUUGUGGAAACUACUUCCUGCAAAAAAUGUGCUGUCCACCUCGCUGUCCCCCACUUCCAUGGAGGACCUGCUGCUGCCCCCAGAAUACGAUGAGAACUGGCUGGUAGAAGGCCGGGACGACGUCCCCCAAGUGUCAACGGCCCCCGCGCCAGUGGCCCCCGCGCCAGCCACGCCCUGGCCCCUGUCAUCCUCUGUCCCUUCCCAGAAGACCUACCAGGGCAACUAUGGUUUCCGUCUGGGCUUCCUGCACUCCGGGACAGCCAAGUCUGUCACAUGCACGUACUCCCCUGCCCUCAACAAGCUGUUCUGCCAGCUGGCCAAGACAUGCCCUGUGCAGCUGUGGGUAGACUCCACACCCCCGCCUGGCACCCGAGUCCGUGCCAUGGCCAUCUACAAGAAGUCACAGCACAUGACAGAAGUUGUGAGGCGGUGCCCCCACCACGAGCGCUGCUCUGAUAGUGACGGUCUGGCUCCGCCUCAGCACCUUAUCCGGGUGGAAGGAAAUCUGCGGGCAGAGUACCUGGACGACAGACAGACUUUUCGACACAGUGUGGUAGUGCCAUAUGAGCCCCCUGAGGUUGGCUCUGACUGUACCACCAUCCACUACAACUACAUGUGUAACAGCUCCUGCAUGGGAGGCAUGAACCGGCGGCCCAUCCUCACCAUCAUCACACUGGAAGACCCCAGUGGGAACCUGCUGGGACGGAACAGCUUUGAAGUGCGUGUUUGUGCCUGUCCCGGGAGAGACCGCCGCACAGAGGAAGAAAAUUUCCGCAAGAAGGAGGCACCUUGCCUUGAAUUGUCCCCUGGGAGCACUAAGCGAGCACUGCCCCCCAGCACCAGUUCCUCUCCCCAGCCAAAGAAGAAACCACUGGAUGGAGACUAUUUUACCCUUAAGAUCCGUGGCCGUGACCGCUAUGAGAUGUUCCGAGUGCUGAAUGAAGCCUUGGAAUUCAAGGAUGCCCAGGCUGAAAAGGAGCCAGGGGAGACUAAGGCUCAGUCCAGGUGAGGGGCCUGGGCCAGCUCCCAGCCAUGGUGCCCCCCACCCCCACCUUCCUGAGCUACCUGAAGUCCAAGAAGGGCCAGUCUACCUCCCGUCAUAAAAAACUAAUGCUCAAGAGAGAGAGCCCUGACUCAGACUGACCCUGUUUGCCUCCUGUCCACCAGCAGACUACCCCCCUCUCCUCCUUCCCUGGCAUCUUGUGACUCGGCUGCUUGAACUCCUGAUUGGUGUAACUCGGAAAUACCUGAGAACCCUGCCCUUUGCCUUGACCUGAAUUUGGGAAGGGUGGUGGGAGCUAGAAUGCACAAGCUUGGCUUUUUAAGGUUUUUUUCUUCGUAGAGUUUGGGAGAAAGGAAAAUGUUUUUGCGUGUGAGGAUGGAGUUUACAAUUGGCCAUACUAUGUGUCAAAGCCCACGCCAAUACUAUCUCGAGUUUAGUUUCUCACAAUUGGAAUACCCACAUCUGUAAAAUGCUGGUCAUCAUGACCUACCUCACAGGGCUUGUUGUGAGGGUUAAUGAGAUAAUGUUUGUCAGGCCUUCAACCAUCUUCUGUUACCUCAUGGCUGGGACCCACGCGGGUGCUGGUUCCCUGUCCUUGCAGGUGGGGCUGGUAGUUUCCAAGGUUGGACAGCUGGUUCAGUGGAAGUAGUCAGUCAAGCCUCUUCUGGCCCAGCCAAGUCCUGUUUAGUCUCUGUUGAACCUUGGCUCCUAAAAUGAAAUUUUACCCCAUGCCACACCCUAGAAGAAUGGCUCUCACAAGGGUCCGUAUCUUCCAAGACUUGUUCCUUCUCCCCCACCCCCACCAUGUGCUUAAGGUCAGUUUUUUCCUCCACUGCAAGAUGUACCUGCAUUUGUCCCCCCAACGUUCUCCCUUUUUAUAUCCACUUUUUAUAUAUCGAUUCCUUAUUUUACAAUAAAACUUGGCUACCA